rnacentral:tRNA from 1 species
AAUAAGAUAAGCUAAAUUAAAGCUAGUGGGUUCAUACCCCAAAAAUAGAAAUUCUUCUUAUUA